AAAUAGAAGAUCUCAAGCAUUAUGGGAUAUUCAACGCUUCAAAGCCAAAUGUACAUUAUUCAUAAAGGAUUCACUUAUGUCGGGAUAACAAAAGACCAUAUUCAGUUCAAGAUAUAUUUGUCCUGCCUUUGGAAAGCAAGAAUGUCAGAUGAGAAAUAUCAUCACAAGUAAAUUCUUUUUAUUUUUCUUUGCUUUCUAGCAACCCAAAGCAAACAAGAGAGUUGUUACUUAUAUGAAAAGCAUAAGAAAAAUCAAGAAUUAACAAGCAAAACAGUUGAAAUUCAAGCAGCUGCAAAAUACUAUUUAAUUAAAUAAU
rnacentral:lncRNA from 1 species